rnacentral:misc_RNA from 1 species
AAACUGCGAUACGUAGUGUGAAUUGCAGAAUUCAGUGAAUCAUCGAAUCUUUGAACGCAAAUUGCGCUGCUGGGUAUUCCCGGCAGCAUGCUUGGCUGAGUAUCAUCUAGACAAAUCGGCAGUCUGUUGUUGUUCACUCAAUGACGCGAUUGUCCGGAGUUGAGGUUGUCGCACAAUCACUUAAGUGAUGUGGGUCCCUUCAAGUCUAGUCAGGUUAGCAUUAAGCUACAAAAAACAAUUGUUUAAGCUUAUAUCAUGUCUAACCGCCAGUGUGUCAAAUUGUUUGCUCCUUCUCAUUUUGAGAAAUUGCACAACAUUAGCACUGAUUGCGGAUUGAUGUCUGCCUUAAAACAAAACCAAAACUUUGAUCUCAGCUCAAGCAAGACUACCCGCUGAAUUU